CAGGCCCAGUCCAACCAGCAGGCCAUCGUCGUGGCUCUGCAGAGGCUGGCGGACAAGCAGUCAGCCCGCCAUUACAACAGCUCCAGCACCAUCAACCUGCUGACACAGCAUCUCGCCAACCUCAACCUGGACAGUGGGAUCAUCAGCAGGGGAGGCUUCACCUUGGUGCCCAGGGCCCCCCCAGCUCCCCCUGUUAGCCAGGGGCCACGCAGGGCCCUAAACGCAGAAACACUCCCCUCCGGGGGCACUGGUCCCAGGAUGACGGCCCGAGCGGAGUGGUCCACUGGAGCGAGGAGGAGACCCCGGCCUACAGGCAUGUGACCGGGCCGGGCCCCCAGCCCCAGGGGAGUUACCGCUUCCAGUUCGCCAUCCAACAGCUGCUGGACCAGAGCCACACUCGCCAUCAGGCCCUGCUGCUGGAACCCACGAGUACCCAAUGGCCCCGGCCCUAACAACUCCCCUGCGCACCCUCCGGGGGGCCACCCGGUCUGCACCAGCACCACUCAGACCCACGACCCCUCUCUGCACCGGCCCGAGCGGGGCCCCGGGAGGCCCCCGCUCGCCCCCAAGCCCCCCAGCGGUUCCCGGGACGGCCUGGCCAGGAAGACGGAGACCCAGCGCCUCACGUCCGUCUGCGUACAGCAGGCUGUUCCAGGCCCACGAGCCCGAGCACAGAUGACAUCCAGAGGAGGAGCCCGUGGCCCGGGCCCCGACGGCAUGCUGGCCCGACCGCUGUCUGUGCAUGUAACCCCCCCCUGGAAAUGUAAUGCACAAACAAUCUGUUAAGAGUCCCAAACGCCAUCCAUUCAGGCAUUAGGGCUAUGGCAAAAACUGUUAUACAAAUUGCAACAGCAUAACUCCAUCUGAUGGCAAUAGAGCGAUUGUCUAAACACACACACACACACACACUCGCACACUCGCACACUCGCACACACACAUUCGCACACACACACUCACACACACACACACACACACACACACACACACACACACACACACACACACACACAUUCGCACACACAUUCACACACACACUCACACACACACACACACACACACACACACACACACACAC
ensembl:lncRNA